rnacentral:rRNA from 1 species
CCAGACUCCUACGGGAGGCAGCAGUGAGGAAUAUUGGUCAAUGGGCGGAAGCCUGAACCAGCCAAGUCGCGUGAGGGAAUAAGGCCCUACGGGUCGUAAACCUCUUUUGCCGGGGAGCAAGGGCGGGGACGUGUCCCGGCCCGGAGAGUACCCGGAGAAAAAGCAUCGGCUAACUCCGUGCCAGCAGCCGCGGUAAUACGGAGGAUGCGAGCGUUAUCCGGAUUUAUUGGGUUUAAAGGGUGCGUAGGCGGGCUUUUAAGUCGGGGGUAAAAAUCCGGGCUCAACCCCAUCCGGCCGUUGAAACUGGGGGCCUUGAGUGGGCGAGAAGAAGGCGGAAUGCGUGGUGUAGCGGUGAAAUGCAUAGAUAUCGCGCAGAACUCCGAUUGCGAAGGCAGCAUGCCGGCUCCACACUGACGCUGAGGCACGAAAGCGUGGGUAUCGAACAGGAUUAGAUACCCUCGUAAA